rnacentral:lncRNA from 1 species
AUCUCCUAUCACCCCAUCAACAUGGCUUUUAUUUCCUUUUCUUGUCUUAUUACAUUAUCUAAGAUUUUCAGUAAGGUGUUGAAGAGAAGUAGGAGAAGAGGGAUCCUUGCCUUGUUCCUGAUCUCAUAGGAAAAACAUCUAAUUUCUCAUUAAGUGUGGUAUUCAUUGUAGGAUUUUUGGAGCUCUUCUUUAUCAAGUUGAGGAACUUCCCCUCUAUUCCUAGUUUGCUGGGAGUUUUUUUCAAAUAAUGAAGAGAUGUGGAUUUUGGGAAAUGCUUUUUCUGCAUCCAUUCUAUGAUCAUGCGAUUUUCCUUCUUUUGCCUGUUGCUGUGAUGGAUUACAUUAAUUGCUUUUUAAAUGCUGAACCAGCCUCUAUAUGAGGAGUAAGUCUCGGUUGGUCAUAGUAUAUAACUGACUCUUGAGAAUUUUGUUGAGCAUUUUUGUUUACAGCUUUCUUCUUAGCACUUUUUUCUUUUUAGCUCUUUCCUGUAUGCAUUUGAUGCUAUAAAUUUACCUCUAAACAUUACUUUUGCUAAUAUCCCAUGAAUGUUAAGCUGUAUUUACGUUUUCAUUUGGUUCAAAAUAUUUUUAAAUUUCUCUUGAGACUUCUUUGACUCAUAUGUUAUUUAGAUAUGUGUUGUUUAAUUUCAAGUAUUUGGGGAUUUUCCAGCUACUUUUCUGGUACGGAUUUCUGGUUUAAUUCCAUUGUAAUCUAUGAGCAUGCUGUAUAUGGUUUCUGUUCUUUUAAAUUUGUAAAGGUGUGUUUUAUGGCCCAGAAUGUGAUGUCUUAGUGAAUGUUCCAUGUGAGCUUGACAAAAACGUAUAUUCUGCUGUUACUGGAUGAGGUAUCCUGUAAGUGUCAAUUAGAUCAAUUUGUUUGAUGGUGCUGUUGAGUUAAACUAUGUCUUUCCUGAUUUUAUGCUUGCCAGAUCCGUUCAUUCCUGAUACAGGGUGUUGAAGUCUCUAACUAUGAUAGUGGGUUCAUCUGUUUCUCUUGGCAGCUCUACUUGGUUUGCCUUGUGUAUUUGACACUGCUGUUAGGCAGCUAGAUACUAAGGAUUGUUAUGUAUUCUUGGAGAUCUGAUCUUUUCAUCAUGAUGUAAUGUCCCUCUUUACUGCUGAAAACUUUCCUAGCUCUGAAGUCUGCUCUGCCUAUUCUGAUAAUUUCUGAUAUGAAUAAUUUGUGUCAUUUUUUUUCUUAGUCUGGCUAGAGGUUUAUCCAUUUUAUUGAUUUUUUUCAAACAACCAGCUUUUGGUUUAAUUUACUUUUCUUCUAGUUUCCUAAGGUACAAGCUUAGAUAAUUGAUUUCAGAUCUUUCUGCUUUUCUAAUAUAUGUAUUUGAUGCUAUAAAUUAAUAUGGCUCCUCCAGCUUUCUUUUGGCCCAUCUAAGUUUUCCUUUGAUUCAUGUUAGAACAGUAGACCUUCCUCCAUCCCUUAUCUAUUAAUCUUUAGGUGUUUAUAUAAAGGGGUUUCUAGAAGACAACAUAUAGUUGGGUAUUUUUUUUUAAUCCACUCUGACAGUCUCUGUCCUUUAAU